UCAGUCCCUCUUACUCCUUCACCUAACAGCCCUAAAACGCUCCUCUCUCCUCUCUCUUCGUCCGUCACCCCACCACCACCCCACUCCCCGUCACUUCCAUCACUUUACCACCACCACAGAAACAUCCCACAAAAUCCGCUACCUACACCCUUCUUCUCUUUUCUCACACUCCAUCUCUGAAGCCUACAGGAACCAUGUGCAAAUUCAGCGGAUUUUAUGGUGAGUCCCAUCCCUAUUUUCAUCACCUCACCUGUUUGAAAUGUCAAUUUUUCCCCCCUUCUUAGAUUCGAAAUUCAAAGGCCAAAAACUUCUUGAAGAAGCUGUUGAAACAUUCCCUUUUUUUUUUAGCUAUAAAUACAGCCCUCUAUGGGCUGUUAAGGGGGGAUCAAUCGAGGUAAAAAGGAACCACAAAAAAUCCCUUUUUAUUUUUACAAGCUUUCCCCUCUCAUAAAGUUUCUAUUGCUUUAAAACUUGGGUUCUCAGAAAAUUCUAUUUUUAACUCUUAUGUUCUUUUGGCUGUAUAAUUUUGGUUAUUCUCGGCUGAGCAAGGGCCACUUCAAGCGGAUUCGAAGACUCGACGACGAUAAUAGCCUCAGUUCGCUGUCACGGAGAAGGAACCUUGGGAGCAUUUGGAGUUAUGGCAACUCCAGAUUCUGCCCAGGUCAGAGAGAAACUAGUAGCAGCAGUUCUGCUCGUGCCUAGCUAUCCCCGAUUUCCACUCGUGUCUGAGUGUCGACGUCUUCUUUCCUCUCUUCAAAAAUUUUAUGCCUUUGUAUUGAUGUGUCGUUUACAUAUUUUACUAACAUUUUGUGAGUUUGUAUUUGCAGUGUUUUAUUUCUCGUUUUUGUGCGUGAACUGUCAAUGAUGAUCGAGAAGAAAAGUUUGCUUAA